rnacentral:rRNA from 1 species
UACGUAGGGUGCAAGCGUUAAUCGGAAUUACUGGGCGUAAAGCGUGCGCAGGCGGCUUUGCAAGACAGAUGUGAAAUCCCCGGGCUCAACCUGGGAACUGCAUUUGUGACUGCAAGGCUAGAGUACGGUAGAGGGGGAUGGAAUUCCGCGUGUAGCAGUGAAAUGCGUAGAGAUGUGGAGGAACACCGAUGGCGAAGGCAGCCCCCUGGGCUGAGAUUGACGCUCAGGCACGAAAGCGUGGGGAGCAAACAGG